AAGCGUCCUCCCUCUGACGCCGCCGUCGCCGUCAAGUGUUGCAGUUUAGCCUCGCUUUACUCCACGGCUUAUCUGUGUCAAAUCGACCGCUACAUCU